AGAGCCAUAGCUCAGUUGGGAUGAGCGUUCGCUUGACGUGCGAAAGGUCAUGGGUUCGAGCCCCAUUGGCUCUA
rnacentral:tRNA from 1 species